AUGUGUCCAGAUGGGUCACCAGGUGUCUAGAUGAAUCCAGAUAGGUCACCAGGUGUCUAGAUUAAUCCAGAUGGGUCACCAGGUGUCUAGAUUAAUCCAGAUGAGUCACCAGGUGUCUAGAUGUGUCCACUCUCACCAGGUGUGUGUAAAGGUGUCCAGAAGUGUCCACUCUCACCAGCUGUGUGUAAAGGUGUCCUGUGUAUCCAGGUGUGCUGAGGUGUUGUGAUCAUAAAGGGAAUCCGUUAAACGGGACGUCUAGUGACGUUCAUCUUAUAGACUGAUCUCAGGCCUGUCCCAACUCAUUCAUCUCAUAGACUGAUCUCAGGCCUGUCCAACUCAUUCCCCUUAUAGACUGAUCUCAGGCCUGUCCAACUCAUUCCCCUUUUAGACUGAUCUCAGGCCUGUCCCAACUCAUUCACCUUAUAGACUGAUCUCAGGCCUGUCCAACUCAUUCAUCUCAUAGACUGAUCUCAGGCCUGUCCAACUCAUUCCCCUUAUAGACUGAUCUC
ensembl:lncRNA